rnacentral:rRNA from 1 species
CAGUCGCCGCGGUAAUACGAAGGGUGCAAGCGUUAAUCGGAAUUACUGGGCGUAAAGCGUGCGUAGGCGGUUUGUUAAGUCUGCUGUGAAAUCCCCGGGCUCAACCUGGGAACUGCAUCUUAUACUGGGUAACUGGAGUGCAGUAGAGGGUAGUGGAAUUUCCGGUGUAGUGGUGAAAUGCGUAGAUAUCCGGAGGAACACCAAUGGCGAAGGCAGCUCGCUGGGACGGUACUGACGCUGAGACGCGAAAGCGUGGGGAGCAAACAGGAUUAGAUACCCGCGUAGUCCCUGUCUCUUAUAU